rnacentral:rRNA from 1 species
GUCGACGGUAGAGGGGGCAACCCCUUGAGAGUGGCGAACGGGUGAGUAAUAUAUCGGAACGUGCCCAGUCGUGGGGGAUAACGUAGUGAAAAUUACGCUAAUACCGCAUACGAUCUAAGGAUGAAAGCGGGGGAUCGCAAGACCUCGCGCGACUGGAGCGGCCGAUAUCAGAUUAGGUAGUUGGUAGGGUAAAGGCCUACCAAGCCAACGAUCUGUAGCUGGUCUGAGAGGACGACCAGCCACACUGGAACUGAGACACGGUCCAGACUCCUACGGGAGGCAGCAGUGGGGAAUUUUGGACAAUGGGCGAAAGCCUGAUCCAGCCAUUCCGCGUGCAGGAUGAAGGCCCUCGGGUUGUAAACUGCUUUUGUACAGAACGAAAAGGUCUCUAUUAAUACUAGGGGCUCAUGACGGUACUGUAAGAAUAAGCACCGGCUAACUACGUGCCAGCAGCCGCGGUAAUACGUAGGGUGCAAGCGUUAAUCGGAAUUACUGGGCGUAAAGCGUGCGCAGGCGGUUAUAUAAGUCAGAUGUGAAAUCCCCGGGCUCAACCUGGGAACUGCAUUUGAGACUGUAUAGCUAGAGUACGGUAGAGGGGGAUGGAAUUCCGCGUGUAGCAGUGAAAUGCGUAGAUAUGCGGAGGAACACCGAUGGCGAAGGCAAUCCCCUGGACCUGUACUGACGCUCAUGCACGAAAGCGUGGGGAGCAAACAGGAUUAGAUACCCUGGUAGUCCACGCCCUAAACGAUG